AUUGAACGCUGGCGGCAUGCUUUACACAUGCAAGUCGAACGGUAACAGGCCGCAAGGUGCUGACGAGUGGCGAACGGGUGAGUAAUGCAUCGGAACGUGCCCAGUCGUGGGGGAUAACGCAGCGAAAGCUGCGCUAAUACCGCAUACGAUCUAUGGAUGAGAGCGGGGGACCGUAAGGCCUCGCGCGAUUGGAGCGGCCGAUGUCAGAUUAGGUAGUUGGUGGGGUAAAGGCUCACCAAGCCAACGAUCUGUAGCUGGUCUGAGAGGAAGACCAGCCACACUGGGACUGAGACACGGCCCAGACUCCUACGGGAGGCAGCAGUGGGGAAUUUUGGACAAUGGGCGCAAGCCUGAUCCAGCAAUGCCGCGUGCAGGAAGAAGGCCUUCGGGUUGUGAACUGCUUUUGUACGGAACGAAACGGCUCUGGUUAAUACCUGGGGCUAAUGACGGUACCGUAAGAAUAAGCACCGGCUAACUACGUGCCAGCAGCCGCCGUAACAC
rnacentral:rRNA from 1 species